rnacentral:rRNA from 1 species
AGAGUUUGAUCAUGGCUCAGGACGAACGCUGGCGGCGCGCCUCAUACAUGCAAGUCGAGCGUGAAGCGGGGCUUCGGUCCCGUGGAAAGCGGCGAACGGGUGCGUAACACGUGAGCAACCUGCCCCAAAGACUGGGAUAACCCGGGGAAACCCGGGCUAAUACCGGAUGUCCUCCUCCGAUCGCAUGGUGGGAAGAGGAAAUGUUCAGGCGCUUUGGGAUGGGCUCGCGGUCUAUCAGCUUGUUGGUGGGGUAACGGCCUACCAAGGCGACGACGGAUAGCUGGUCUGAGAGGACGAUCAGCCACACUGGGACUGAGACACGGCCCAGACUCCUACGGGAGGCAGCAGUAGGGAAUCUUGCGCAAUGAGGGAAACCUUGACGCAGCGACGCCGCGUGCGGGAUGAAGACCUUCGGGUUGUAAACCGCUUUCAGCAGGGACGAAAUUGACGGUACCUGCAGAAGAAGGCCGGCCAACUACGUGCCAGCAGCCGCGGUA